AUUUGGAGCUUCAGGGCUUGUUUAAGGUUCAGCUCAGUCUCUGAGGGAGGGAACCCCUCCAGCACCUCCUGAUGCCCUCGCUCCUGCACUGUUUGAGAGACAGAGACCCUGCCCAGGAACACCUGGUUGAUCUGCAGAUGUCAUUACUCAUAGGUCAUCAAGACUAUACUGCUGCAAGGGACCAGUACCAAGACACAGCAUAGUUUUUGCC
rnacentral:lncRNA from 1 species